GUGCUCUAAAAGGGAGAGGAGAUUUGGAUUCUUCACAGUCAGCACUGAGAGACUGCCCAUUCACUUGGGGGCUUUGGGAAGCAUGAAGAUGGAGUCAGCUUUUUCUGGAGGCUGUUCGGAGCCUGGUGUGUGUUCUUGCACCGUUCCUCAUGUGAAGAUUUGUUGCCCAAUACAAUAAAAUCUGAAGCGACAGACAAUUCACAAAGCUGCUCCGUCACCCCGAGUUUUGGAAAGCAUCAUCCUUUUGUUACGUCCUCUGUUCAAUUUAAAAACAAAAAUGCAGUUACCAUGACAACUCUUGCCCACACUGGAAAUCCGUUAUUGGGAGUUUCUGGCAUGGGUUUUAUUUGCAUAUGCUGCAAACUGCACUGUUAUUAA
rnacentral:lncRNA from 1 species